rnacentral:rRNA from 1 species
UUGAACGCUGGCGGCAGGCCUAACACAUGCAAGUCGAGCGGUAGCACAGAGAGCUUGCUCUCGGGUGACGAGCGGCGGACGGGUGAGUAAUGUCUGGGAAACUGCCUGAUGGAGGGGGAUAACUACUGGAAACGGUAGCUAAUACCGCAUAAUGUCGCAAGACCAAAGUGGGGGACCUUCGGGCCUCAUGCCAUCAGAUGUGCCCAGAUGGGAUUAGCUAGUAGGUGGGGUAACGGCUCACCUAGGCGACGAUCCCUAGCUGGUCUGAGAGGAUGACCAGCCACACUGGAACUGAGACACGGUCCAGACUCCUACGGGAGGCAGCAGUGGGGAAUAUUGCACAAUGGGCGCAAGCCUGAUGCAGCCAUGCCGCGUGUGUGAAGAAGGCCUUCGGGUUGUAAAGCACUUUCAGCGGGGAGGAAGGCGGUGAGGUUAAUAACCUCAUCGAUUGACGUUACCCGCAGAAGAAGCACCGGCUAACUCCGUGCCAGCAGCCGCGGUAAUACGGAGGGUGCAAGCGUUAAUCGGAAUUACUGGGCGUAAAGCGCACGCAGGCGGUCUGUCAAGUCGGAUGUGAAAUCCCCGGGCUCAACCUGGGAACUGCAUUCGAAACUGGCAGGCUAGAGUCUUGUAGAGGGGGGUAGAAUUCCAGGUGUAGCGGUGAAAUGCGUAGAGAUCUGGAGGAAUACCGGUGGCGAAGGCGGCCCCCUGGACAAAGACUGACGCUCAGGUGCGAAAGCGUGGGGAGCAAACAGGAUUAGAUACCCUGGUAGUCCACGCCGUAAACGAUGUCGAUUUGGAGGUUGUGCCCUUGAGGCGUGGCUUCCGGAGCUAACGCGUUAAAUCGACCGCCUGGGGAGUGCGGCCGCAAGGUUAAAACUCAAAUGAAUUGACGGGGGCCCGCACAAGCGGUGGAGCAUGUGGUUUAAUUCGAUGCAACGCGAAGAACCUUACCUGGUCUUGACAUCCACAGAACUUUCCAGAGAUGGAUUGGUGCCUUCGGGAGCUGUGAGACAGGUGCUGCAUGGCUGUCGUCAGCUCGUGUUGUGAAAUGUUGGGUUAAGUCCCGCAACGAGCGCAACCCUUAUCCUUUGUUGCCAGCGGUUAGGCCGGGAACUCAAAGGAGACUGCCAGUGAUAAACUGGAGGAAGGUGGGGAUGACGUCAAGUCAUCAUGGCCCUUACGACCAGGGCUACACACGUGCUACAAUGGCAUAUACAAAGAGAAGCGACCUCGCGAGAGCAAGCGGACCUCAUAAAGUAUGUCGUAGUCCGGAUUGGAGUCUGCAACUCGACUCCAUGAAGUCGGAAUCGCUAGUAAUCGUAGAUCAGAAUGCUACGGUGAAUACGUUCCCGGGCCUUGUACACACCGCCCGUCACACCAUGGGAGUGGGUUGCAAAAGAAGUAGGUAGCUUAACCUUCGGGAGGGCGCUUACCACUUUGUGAUUCAUGACUGGGGUG